rnacentral:rRNA from 1 species
UACACACCGCCCGUCACACCAUGGGAGUGGGUUGCACCAGAAGUAGCUAGUCUAACCGCAAGGGGGACGGUUACCACGGUGUGAUUCAUGACUGGGGUGAAGUCGUAAACAAGGUACC